UACAGAGGUCUCGAGCGUUUGUUCGGAUUCAUUGGGCGUAAAGGGUGCGUAGGUGGCGCUGUAAGUCGGGUGUGAAAUCCUGAGGCUUAACCUCGGAACUGCAUUCGAUACUGCGGCGCUUGAGGACUGGAGAGGAGACUGGAAUUCAUGGUGUAGCAGUGAAAUGCGUAGAGAUCAUGAGGAAGACCAGUGGCGAAGGCGGGUCUCUGGUCCGGUACUGACGCUGAGGUGCGAAAGCGUGGGGAGCAAACAGG
rnacentral:rRNA from 1 species